rnacentral:rRNA from 1 species
UAUGCCUUAGUGUGGGGGAUAACUAUUGGAAACGAUAGCUAAUACCGCAUAACGUCUUCGGACCAAAGAGGGGGACCUUCGGGCCUCUCGCGCUAAGAUUAGCCCAGGUGGGAUUAGCUAGUUGGUGAGGUAAAGGCUCACCAAGGCAACGAUCCCUAGCUGGUCUGAGAGGAUGAUCAGCCACACUGGAACUGAGACACGGUCCAGACUCCUACGGGAGGCAGCAGUGGGGAAUAUUGCACAAUGGGGGAAACCCUGAUGCAGCCAUGCCGCGUGUAUGAAGAAGGCCUUCGGGUUGUAAAGUACUUUCAGUCGUGAGGAAGGGUAUGUAGUUAAUAGCUGCAUACCUUGACGUUAGCGACAGAAGAAGCACCGCUAACU